rnacentral:lncRNA from 8 species
AUGGAAGAGGAAGUACGACUAGGAGCGGCACAAAUUGAAGCACUAAAAAGAACAGUGAGGGAGCUGGACAGAGCACAAGACCACAGCGACAGUCUAGGCAACCCAGAGAGGGGACACUGCAUAGACAUAGGAGGAGAAAAGGAGCGGGAGGAAGAGAGGAGAGAAGACAGAGAACUGAAGGUUCUAUGUGGAACAUUUAAGGGAGACAUGUGGAACCCAAGGGAGGCCCCGGCAUACCACACCAGGAGUAGAACGCACGAAUGGCAGACGAGAGGACAGUAUCCAUUGAGGGACACGCCCGGAGGAACAACAGUGUAUAAACCAUGGGCCCAUCGAGACGUACAGACCAUAAUAGAUAGCCUGUCAGCACCAGAGGAAUCUGGGGAUAGAUGGAUUAAGGAGUUCGAAAGUCUGACGGCGGCAGAUGAACUCACAGUAGGUGAUAUGGCUGCGGUAAUGAACAGGUGCAUGGGAGACCAAGAAUGCAGAGAGGUAAUGACAGCAGCAGGGUUACGAGGGAUGGUGGGGGCAGCCACCAGGUUUGACCAGCACAGAGGGAAGGCUUGGGACGCUGUCAGGCACAAGUACCCGACCCAGCCAAGGCCCCAGCUGAUGCGGACACUGACACUGGAAGAAGACGAAAGUGUGCCUGUGUACAUGAAAAGGGCGAGGGGCCUCUGGAGGCAGGCGUGGAACGAAGAACCAGGUAAAGACACCAUGAAACACCUAUUCCUAGCUAAUUGCAUACAGGGAUUGCCAGACCAGGUGCGAGUGGAGUGUGAAAAGGUGGUGGGAAUCACGGCUAAGAGUGUGCUGGAGUUUACUGAGAUCGCUCAACACCAUGUGGAGCGAUGGAGAGAGGGAAAGAGGAAGGAAGAGGAUGAAAUCAAACAACUACAGAAGAAGGUUCUGAAGAAACAGCUUAACGAGGAUAAACCUGGGAAACAGAUGGUGGUAACGAACACCCCAAUAUCGACAUCUCCUGCUUAUAGCACAGAUACAGCGGCGGCAGUGACGGCCGUGAUACAAGCAAUGGUGGGCAUGAUGGCCCCAGAACGGUUGGCUGUGGGGGAAGCUCAGGGUAAAUACCCACCGCAUCCCCCACUAACUCCAUACCCCCAGCAGAACUACACUGCUCCACCAUAUCAGCAGCAAUACUAUGCUCCCUAUCCUUAUCCGCAACAACCCUAUACACCAAGAUAUAUGGAUCAGGGGUGCUUUAACUGUGGUAUAGUCGGACACAUGGCCAGGCACUGCCAGCAGGGGCAGAGGGGUCAACCGCCGAGGGGCAGGGGUUAUGUCGGACAACCGCGGGGACGAGCCCAGUGGAACCCAAGAGGGAGGGGGACAUGGAAUGGAGGAAGGGGAGGACAGCAGCCAACGCAACAGCAAUACCAACCACAAGCACCAGGUCCACAGGGAGGAGGUCAGGGAAUGGAGGUGCCAAACCCAGCAUUGGUUCCAAGCAUGGCUUGGCUGGGUGACGAACAGAACUACCAAUGA